rnacentral:rRNA from 1 species
UACGUAGGGGGCAAGCGUUGUCCGGAAUCAUUGGGCGUAAAGAGCGUGUAGGCGGCCAAUUAAGUCCUGCGUGAAAUCUCGGGGCUCAACCCCGAGCGGUCGUGGGAAACUGGUUGGCUAGAGUGCGGGAGAGGAGAGUGGAAUUCCUGGUGUAGCGGUGAAAUGCGUAGAGAUCGGGAGGAACAUCUGUGGCGAAGGCGACUGCCUGGACCAGCACUGACACUGAGGCACGAAAGCGUGGGGAGCAAACAGG